UAUUAUUAUUAUUAUUAUUAUUCCCCCCACAACUUAUUGGGGAUCAUUUAGGGUUUUAUGGAUCUUGUGUUAUUAUUUUUUUUAUAUCAAUCGCGACUUUGUGCAGGAUAAGCGGUAAAAAAUUUCUUCUUAGGCUUGAGUCGUCACCACAACACUCUUAAUUCAUGGAUGCGAAGCGUGGUUUUAACUUGAUUUCCUCUAUGACCAGAAAGGUCAUACUAUUGAAUGCUAUAAUUAUUAUUUUUUUGAUUGUUGCGGCCAAAAAUGCUCGAUUUUGCUGCGUUUUGAAAAGAAUUUGCGAUGUAAUUUGCAGAACUUUUUGUGUUUUUUUUUUUUUUACUCGAAUUGGUGAAAUCGCAAUUGCAUGAAAUUGUUUUGCGAAAUUGUCGGCGAAUGAGACCUUUUCUCUGCACUCAUGUUCGACGCAAGUGAAUCAAAGAGGUCUAUGGCUGAAUGCAUGCUGUGAUGACGUCACCUGACGCCUCUUGGCCCGAAUUUUGCGGAAAAUUUGUGGUGAUUUUGAAAAUAGUUUCCUUGAUUUUGCGUUCAUUUCUGCGAUCGCCGAAAUCCCGAAGGGACUGUAUAGAGAAACGAAUGAGCUCGCUGGUUGCUGGAGUUCCGUUCUUGUCAGCCCUCCCUUGCUAGUCAUUGCUAGUAUUACUGGCAUAUAACAGCAUAUUUAUUUGUGUGGGAAAAAAAGAAUAAAUGUGAUAGUGACGUGAUAUAUCAAACAUAAAGUUAGCUGUGUAGUGUAGUACAAGUAAAACAGUUCUGGCCCUGGUCUCUCCACUGUUCUCAGACUAACAGCUGUUUCCGUCACCAUGCUAGCCAGCACAGGCUGAUAAUUUCGACUAGGGUUGAUUUCUUUCUCAAUGACACCAUCAUGGAACCAUUAGAAAAGCUCGCUCAUGAGAGGUGGCCAAAAGUUACGAUCUGUUCUUGUCCAAAUGAACCCCCCGAUGAAAAAUUUAGCAUCUGUUAUAGUUCUGCUGCGAAUGCAUUCGAUUAUUAAUGCCACACAUUACGCUGAAAUAAGCCUAAAAAGUCACCACGAACAGAUGUGGGGACGUAUUAUACGAAUUCUCUGUGUGGAUUUAAUAUACCGAGCCAUUUCUAUGCUAUUCGCCUUUCUCAGUCAUUCUACUCUUGCAGUUCAUUACAUCAGCACCGGCGCACUUCAGAUCAAACCCAUUCCCUUUCAAGUUGUAUCAGCACAUGAAUUUAGUGCUGGGAUCGAGCAUGGCAUGAAGUAGACCGAAUCCUUACACAGACUAAAUAACUUUGAAAAUGUUCUAGCUCGCAGCGAGGAGAGAGACUAUUGGGAGAAAGUGCUGUAGGGGUGAGCGUCGUCCUCAUGACCUCACUCGGCAACUGACAGGAAUGAUAAUCUACAGUUGUGCUCAUUUUCCCCCUUCACAAUCCCCCUUCAGUCUAUCAGUGGGAUCUAAGAACCCAAACAGGCUCCUGGUAAAUUGUUUCUGAAUAGUGACCUUGCUGGAACCUGCUCAUGAGGAAAGGAGAACAGUCUCCAAUGCAAUUUCUCUCUUCUUUAAAAUUCUAGACAAGUUUAGAUUGCAAGGUCUGCAUUUAUUUGAUACGUAACUAUUCCCCCCCCCCCCUCCCCAGCAGGAGGACAGGGGGAUCUGUGGUGACAAGAGAACAUGGGUGAAUAAUCACCUCCUAGUUAUUUAAAUAGCAACUGGAAACCAAAUCCAUGUUGCAAAAUAUGCCAGUGAGGUGUAACAGCAGGAGCUAUGGACAAUGAAUUACCUCUUAUUCGUAUACAAACCUGCAAAUAUAUACAGUAGUUACUCAUACACCAUCAUUCAGGUCUCAGAGAUCCGGUUGCAUAAUAUCUGUUUUUCCCCCCCACUUUCUGUCUGUUUCUUUUACGCCCACAGUCAGUCAUAUUCUGUUUUGUAGAAUUGGAUUUCCCACAGAGACGAAACUUAACAGCAAUGUUAACCUGAUUUUGUAGCUGCUAAAAUCAAAAGGCAUUAUUAUUUUUUAAAAGCAUUCGACAGCUAUCCUAAUAUUAAACCUGAUGUUACAGAGUGGCAGAUGGACAAUAAGCUCCAAAGCGUUGUCAUUUGUUCUUUGUGUACUGAAGGAUAAGUAAAAAAAAACAACCCCCAAACGACAUUAAGUAAACGUGCAGUUACGAAUAAUGUUUUCUGAUGAAAUACUUGGGUCUAUAGGAACUAUUAGUGGCAUGGAAAAUAUACUAGCAUUCAAAGCUUCCCUUAGUUAUAAAAGAUGAAGCUGUUACCAGUGCUCAUUUGGCAAAAGCCCAAUCUUAUGAGUUCCCAGGAUACAUGGAGAAGUGCCACAGCAUAAAUAUUCCCCACAAAAUCAAUAAGACUACUGAUCCGCUGUAGCUCUGCUCCCUGACUGACCAGCUCUACCGCUGGAUUAACACACGUGCAGUGAGACGAACCAGGACGAGCUGUCUUACAAGGAGUAAGACGGACAGUAUGCCCAAUUAGAUCUGUGUUAGCGCCGUGUUUACGGCUUUGGCUUGAGCGAUAACACUGGGAAAAACAGAGGUAGAAAUGCCAGCACUGUCACACAUGAUGUGUGAAUUCUGGCUCUGACAGUUCCUCAACCUCAGCUACAUCGCUCAAGUUCAUAUUUGGUCUCGGCGAUGGAUGUUUGUGUUUGUACCUGCCUUUCACCUGAAAUUCACUUGUUUGUAUUUCCAAAAAAAUGUAAACAAACUAGUAGUAUACUUUAGAGCAAGGGUUUAAUGCUUUUUUUAAACGCAUCACUCAGCACAGCACACAUGAAGGUAAAAACCUCUCACAUACAUGACUUUUUUCGGUCACGGCCAAUGGCGUCCCCGUCCCGAUGCGCACUCCUAGUCUCAGCCAGAUGCCCCGGGAACCUGUGAAAAAAUCUGCCUAGUGCGUCUCUUAUCUGGGUCAGUAUUUGUAUCCGUUCUGAACACAUUGUCUGUUCUAUUCCAAAUAACGUAUUCAUAUCAUUUGGUCACAUCCCUAACGGACACUAUGAUCCCUUGUGUUACAUUCUGGUUAAGGAGAAGCCUCCGCGAUGUUGGCUUAUUACAACUAGAGUGGAACUUGUGCUGUCGUUUCGCUGAUGUUGAUGCCGCAGCGAGUCACUUAACUGCCAAAUUCUUCCAGACUCGCUGGAACAUGUAGCAUAUACUCAUUUUAGGUUUGACAGUUUGGCAUUUAGUCUGUCAGAAAGACAUGCACAAGAGAUUCUGUGGCUUUGCUUUGACUGGUUCUGUCCUUUUACACACCAGAACUUCAUGUUAUAAAAGCAGCAGGUAAGCUUCUUAAGCGCUUGUCUCAGAACACAGGCUUUACUAUCCAUGCCGUGACUUAUAGUGACCAAUUACUUAAGUGCAAGGAUGCCCUAAAUACUGUUUUGUUCAUCUUAUUACAGCUCUAUUAUCAAUCAAACUCAUUUUUGCUGCUGUAAAUAAUAAAUAAACUUCUUAAGCCACCUAUAGUUCAUUUCUUUCUCCCCGUUUUCUCCCUCAUUUGGUCUCGUCACUUCUCAUCCGCAAGCUAACUCUUCCCUGUCAAAAGACGAAACUACCUACCGGGUAGGGAGGGUUAGCUAGAGCGUGUAUCCUCCGAGACACGUGAAGCCAACCUCUGCAUCUUUUCGAACUGCUGCUCAUGCAUCAUCACAUGUCAGCGUAACACACUCGGAGGAAAGCGCCAUCGUUCCUAUCCUGCAUGCAUGAGCUCACGUAUGCCUGUGAUUGACUCUGCAUCAUUGUGAGUGAUACAGGAGCCAUCCCUCCCACCCUGAGAACAAAUUUUGUUCUCCUUUGUUCACCGGGCCAUGGAUGGUUGUGGCAUCAUUGGUAUUCUCUAGACGAUAGGGCAAAUGCUUUUCCUUUGCACUACUCAGGAGCCCACAGCUACUGCGAAGCUUCCAUUUCUAUCUAAACCGCUAGAUUGAUAACUAGCCCCUAAGAGUUAAUUCGAGCCUGUCCGGUCAGUUUCCUUCCACAGUAUAGAACUCCUAGAGCUCAAUAAUGAUCUUAUAAUGAUCAAGUAAUUCUUCAGCUCUACCUUAAUGUCCACUGCGUUGCAAAUGCCAUGUCGAAUGUAACUCAGUAUGAAGCUCUGGCUUCUCUAUCACCUGCUUGUCCAUCAUUGAAAUUAUGCACGUACUUUGAAUCCAAUGUUUUGACUUGUUGCUCUCAAAAUACUGAUUUGUAAAAUGACCCAUUGAUUGCCACUAUUAAGCCCUUUUCUAAUACGUAUUUACAACCUUGUUCCUGUUUAUUUUUUCAACCCACCUUUAAAGGAACUAACGAAGAGCUUUUUUCUUUAUCUCUGCGGUACCGCCCUAAUCAACUUUAUACAUAGUCUGAAAGAUGCAAAGAUCCUUAUUCAUGCUUUCAUAACGUUUAGGUUACUGACUCCUUCUUCAUUGGGGUAUUUUUCAAAAACAAAGCUUAAUAAAUAAAAUGAGCUUAAAUUUGCAAUUCAAGUGCUCACAUACUUUGAGCACUUGGCUCACAUUGCACCCAUUCUCUGUCGGUUACUCCACAGCCUUCUAGGGAUAAACUAUGGAAAGCAGAUAAUUUCAUGCCCCAUUUUGGAAAUUUAAUCCCAAAUGGACCGGUGUCCCAUCUUGGGUGUAUUCCUGCCUGAAGCCCAUUGUUCCCAGGAUGGACUCCAGAUCCACUGUGACCCUGACUAUGAUAAAGAGGUUACUGAAAAAGAAUGCAUGAAUGAACAAAUGAUUCUACCACUCUCUGAAACAUUCAUUCUCAUGCAUGCUCAGAGAAAAGAACAUGACAAAACUCGACUUCAGUUUCAUCUCCUUUGCCAUGAAUUAUCUUCAGCAGUUCGCCACAAGAUUGUUUUUUUUACCAUGGCCUGCUAAAAUGCAGGAAUGCACAGCAUAGGCAUGCUUGAAAUUGUAGCCGUUAUUAUAAUUCCGAUCAGGCCGGUAGUCCUUUCACCAUAAAGCAUAGGAAUGAAAAGGAUGCCUUAAUAGUUAUACACUGGUGCUCACAUUGCAGUGGUGCAUCUACAGACAAAAAAAACAAAACAAACCCAAAACAUUAAUGUCUUUAUAUGUGUUUGCACUAACUGGCUCCUCGAGGCUUUCCUAAUGCAACUUAAGAGAUCAUCAGCACUAAACUGCAUCUUGCUGAUCCUCAGGGUUCAUAAGGGUACUUAGCAAUAAAAAGACCUUGUUUAUUUCACAUGUCGUAGUCUCAGCCUCUGUUAAGGACCCCUGGCUAGUGAAUACAUAAUCUUCCCCUUAACUUGCACCCAAAAUGCAUAAACUGCCAGAUACAUGAAUGAACUGCCUAGUGCCGAGCUCAUGUCAGGGGUGGUUAUUAAGGCUGGCCUGUUAAAUGGUCACAUGACGAGUGCUUUUUUACUUCUGAGCAUUGCACACACCUCCUAAUGAGGCAGCUCUAAUUUAAGUACUUACUGUUUUAAGGAGAAGAGGCACCAGUGUCAGCUAUCAUGUGAGCAGACAUUUAAAGCUGUGUAUCGGGGCAAUAUGAUAGUAUAAAAAGAGAUUUUUGCUGCUUUAACAGUAAAUUAUACAGUGCAGCCCCCGUCAUCAUUUUCUGUCCUGCUUAUCCUACACAGGGUCGCGGGGAGCCUGGAGUCUAUCCAAGAGAACCUGGGGCACAAGGCAGGGGACACUCUGGAUGGGGUGCAAACCCAUUGCAGGGUACAAUACACUCACUCAGACACUACGGAGAAUUUUAGAGAUGCCAAUCAGCCUACAACGCAUGUCUUUGGACUGGAGAGGAAACCGGAAACACAAGGUGGAGGUGGGACUUGAACCCCCAACCCCAGAGUCUCUGGUCUCUUGUUGUGUGCCUCAAUCAGCCUCGCCGGGACACCAGUCCAUCACAGAUAAGAACGAUUUUUGCAUUUGGUAGCAUUUGGAGCUUUUGUUGUUUCUCAUCAUGUCAGCGCCAGUAAACCGGGCUAUCAUAACGUUGAAAUAUCAGAACAAAUCAAUCAGUUCUGGUCUAAAUACUUUGAGCUUGUUUAUCUCCGUGUCCGGAACACCGUCCUAUUAGGUGCUCAUUACUUGUACGCCGUUACAUUCCCAGUGGCAACCACACCAUGCAAACAACAUUCUCAUACAUUGCUUGAUUUAAAAGCCAACACACACACACGUACACGUCUUACUAAGCUUCUGAGGACUUUCCAUUGACACAUAAUUAUUCAUGCAGAUAAUGAAUCCCCCCCACCCCCUCCCAUAGAAAUGUGCUGUUUAAAAAAAAUCCUCACUUGUCUCCUUUCCAUUAUUAAUGAGCCCAAAUUAUAAUUGCUCACACAUUUAGUUUUAAAAAAAAAUGAUUGAAUCAUGACAAUGUUUUGCUAAUUAGUAGCUGUGCAUUUUCUUCUGUGACCGUCUGAAUGCCAGUGAAGCACCACACCAUCACGAGGCUGUAAAAUCAGACAAAAUCCAUCGGUUCUAGUCUAAAUACUUCAAUUAAUGCUUGGUUGUGUCCUGAGAAAAUAACCAUCAGGACGGUAUGACUCGCACACUGUAACAUUCCCAGUGACAACUACAUCAUGUACCGUGUUCUCAUUCAUUCACUGGACAUCAGUGACAGGCGUCUCAUUGGCGACUGUCAGGAUCGCAGAUCCUGAUGUAGAAGCCCGUGUCUCCUGCAGCCGCUUAGAGUGUCCUCAGCUUGGCCGGGCAGCCGGCAUGGCAGGUGAGCCGUGUGGUAACAGACGGUGAGCUCGCAGAGAGCUCGGUAUCAACAGAGGAAGUGCAGAUGACCCACUGAGUCAGCAAGCUGCUCCUCCCUUUCCCUCGGUCAUCUGGACCUGCAGCGUGCAGGGAAUAAAGCUGGAACCUCACCAAAUCUAGCACUGUGAAAGUAAACCAGAGACUGUUCUCUUUCUAUAUGUUAUAGAUGGAUUGAUCAAAAAAAAAAUAAAUCAUCAGUUAUAUAGUAUAGUCAUUGGAUAGUGCACUCAUCGAUGUGACGACAUGUACAAAGUAUUGAAGAAUCAAAUUCAAUCACGUCAUCUCUCUAAACACAUAGUGGGGUUUAGUGUACGGUCUCGAGAAUCACCCUGGACUUGUCGUACAGCCUGAAAGCCGUCUGCACGAGGGACAACCUGAUUGGACCACAGCUCAUGUACUAGACAAAGCCCGUGCUAGUGCCGUUGCAACUGGGAGACAGUAUUUUGCACAGCAUGCGGCUUAAUCCUGAAUGCCGUGUGAUUGUUCGGCUGCUGUUCUCCUAUGAUCAGCCUUUAUGUAAUGGGCAGAUUGGAAGCACUAUUUCACUGAACGUAGCAAGAUUUAGUGUGCUCAAUAAACAGAGGUAUAGACUGUAUGGUGCGUAGAACAAUACAUGAGAACGAGUGACCCUGGAUGUCCUCUUAGGCAUGCUGCAGGAAAAGAAAUCUCAGUGCUCUGUGUGGGUAUGUAUGCUACGACUGCAGCAAAAGAUAAACCUCAUCAAGCUCUGUCUCUCAAUAAUGCAUGAUUAAUUAGAAGCCUCUGAAAUAGGAAUAAAUCAAAGAAAGACUGGAAACUGGGGAGCGAGUGAGUCCAUAAAUAGUUUCAGCAGAGGAAGUGCACAGGUUCAUAGACACACACACACACACAAUUGUACAAUGAUUACUAGCCUGAGCAGAUUUGCUGUGUUUAGUAACUCGUUCAGUGUUAUGAGUCAGAAAACAACCUGCGCCAAGAGAAAUGAUGUUUUUCUUUUUUUCUUUUUUACUGCUGCUGAAUUAAUCAUUUUUUUGUCUACAAUUUUCAGUAGAACCUUACAAAUUUUUAACUUGUCAAAAUAUCCAUCCAUCUUCUAUACCGCUCAUCCUUUUCAGGGUCACAGGGAAACCUGGAGUCUAUCCCAGGGAGCAUCGGGCACAAGGCGGGGUAAACCCUGGACAGGGUGCCAAUCCAUCACAGGGCACACAAUCUACGGACACUUUUAGAUGCCAGUCAGACUACCGUGCACGUCUUUGGACUGGGGGAGGAAACCGGAGUACCCGGAGGAAACCCAUGCAUCACGGGGAGAACAUGCGGGAAUCGAACCCCCGACCCUGGCGGUGUGAGGCGAUUUGUUAAUCUGCUUGAUUUACUCUCUAAAAUGUAAGCUUUAUUCCUAAAAAAAAAAAAUCUGCAAUGUUUUGUUCUCAAGACAAAACUUGAGCAACCGAACAAACAGCCUGCGCUGUAAACCUCGGAUCGUGUCGUGAUCACAGGCUUUUGCUGUUGGCAGAUCGUUUCCACAGCUCCUCUCACGUGGCGUGCAGACGUCCGCGCACCUCCAGGACCUGACGAGUCCGUUUUUGUUCACAUACAAUUAUUAAGAUGCCACGAAACCAAAAUCAUCUGGCAAGCUGAGAUAAGCCCGGGGCAGAUGCAAAUGUUGCCACAGCUGGAUACAAAUUUCACCCGUGAGCUUUUAUGGAAGACGUGUUGGUGAUGAAAGAGUGUGAUGUUAAGUUUCACCACACAGCUGUCUCUUUGAAUAUAACUGAUGACUAAAAUUGAUGGCCAGUAUUAUGUUCUUUAUCGUUUUCUCGUUUUCUUCCAGUGUUUAAUAACAGCUGCAAGGCACCAUAAUGGCAAAAAAAGUGCUUCCCUAAAUGUGUCCCGAGUGUUCCUUUGAGCACCUUGUGCACAGAUGUUGAACAUGCUAAAUUUAUAUUCUAAAGCUGUCUCAUACGCACUGACACUGCAACCAAUAGUUACGACCAGAUCUGAAUCUUCUUAUUUACACCACUGUGAUUUUGAAUUCUCAAACCUGAUUGGUCAAAAGGUGCUGCUUUAUUUUUCUAUACCAACUGCCUUGACAAUAACAAAAACAAAAAUACACAACAAUAACAACAACAACAAAAAAGCAUUUAAGUGUACUUGUCUACUAAAUUCUACAACAUGUGAAAUAAAUUUUAAUUAUACUCUUUAUUUUAAUUAUACUAACGAUACACAUAAAGUGGGGUCCAAACGUCUGAGACAACAAUUUUUUAAAUAUUAAUUUAAAACUGGAAUUAAACCGAAAGUUUGAGAAGUUUGAAAAUUCGAAAACAAAAAAGGAACUGUGCAACAUCUUGACUAUUCAAUAUUUAAGAUGUUGCACAAUUUCUAGGUUGCGAUUUAAAUAUGAGCAAAUUUGUGAUAUUGACCAUGUUAACUCCUUUAUACAAAAGGAGUAUUAUCCCAUGAGUAUCCCUUCCACUGAAGCAUGCAUUCAGACGAAACAGCUGGGGUUGAAACGGAUGGAUUUGAUCUAACAUGGAUGAUCAGGUUUAACACAAACUUGUAGAAGCAAAAAGGGGACAAUCCAAAUAUUAAGAAAGUCUGAAAUUCAUGUAAAUGUUUCUAAUUUUCACAGGUUAUUACUCACUUUACAGGUUAUUACUGAUCAGAACGUCAUGAGUUCAAAUCCCAGCACUGCCAAGCUGCCACUGCUGGGCCCUUGAGCAAGGCCCUUAACCCUCAACUGCUCAUAAGAUAAGG
ensembl:lncRNA